rnacentral:rRNA from 1 species
CGGUGACCAUAGUGACAGGGUCACACCCGAUCCCAUCCCGAACUCGGAAGUUAAGCCUGUCAUGCCGAUGAUACUGCCACUGCGGGAAAGUAGGUCAUCGCC